rnacentral:rRNA from 1 species
CAGCAGCCGCGGGAAUACAGAGGGUGCAAGCGUUAAUCGGAAUUACUGGGCGUAAAGCGCGCGUAGGUGGUUUGUUAAGUUGAAUGUGAAAUCCCCGGGCUCAACCUGGGAACUGCAUCCAAAACUGGCAAGCUAGAGUAGGGCAGAGGGUGGUGGAAUUUCCUGUGUAGCGGUGAAAUGCGUAGAUAUAGGAAGGAACACCAGUGGCGAAGGCGACCACCUGGGCUCAUACUGACACUGAGGUGCGAAAGCGUGGGGAGCAAACAGGAUUAGAUACCCCCGUAGUCCCUGUCUCUUAUAC